rfam:Strigamia maritima strain Brora ctg7180001231651, whole genome shotgun sequence.
AGCAGAGUGGCGCAGUGGAAGCGUGCUGGGCCCAUAACCCAGAGGCCGGUGGAUCGAAACCACCCUCUGCUA